rnacentral:rRNA from 1 species
CCUACGGGCGGCAGCAGUGAGGAAUAUUGGUCAAUGGACGAGAGUCUGAACCAGCCAAGUAGCGUGAAGGAUGACUGCCUAUGGGUUGUAAACUUCUUUUAUAUGGGAAUAAAAUGUUCCACGGUUGGGAUUUUUUAUGUACCAUAUGAAUAAAGAUCGGCUAACUCCUUGCCAGCAGCAGCGGUAAUACGGAGGAUCCGAGCGUUAUCCGGAUUUUUUGGGUUUAACGGGUGCGCAGGCGGAGGUGCAAGUCAGCGGUAAAAUUGCGGGUCUCAAACCCGUACUGCCGUUGAAACUGCAUCCCUUGAGUGCGCGAGAAGUAUGCGGAAUGCGUGGUGUAGCGGUGAAAUGCAUAGAUAUCACGCAGAACUCCGAUUGCGAAGGCAGCAUACCGGCGCGCAACUGACGCUCAUGCACGAAAGCGUGGGUAUCGAACAGGAUUAGAUACCCUUGUGGUC